rnacentral:rRNA from 1 species
CGUGUAGGCGGUUUAAUAAGUCAGAUGUAAAAGCCCCCGGCUCAACCGGGGAUGGUCAUUUGAAACCGUUAGGCUUGAGUAUGAGAGAGGGUAGUGGAAUUCCCAGUGUAGCGGUGAAAUGCGUAGAUAUUGGGAAGAACACCAGUAGCGAAGGCGGCUACCUGGCUCGCAACUGACGCUAAGGCGCGAAAGCGUGGGGAGCAAACA